GAUCUCAUGUCUCAUUUUGUGAAAUAAAUACCAGCACACUCAGCAUCAAAGCCCGUCCUCCAAACAAAGCCAAAUUCUUUAACGCACUGCUCCCUCUUCUUCAUUCUCCUUCUCUUCGUCAUCUUUCAUCUCUAAUCUCCGAUCUCGUUUCUCCACCACAUCCGAUCUCCCUCAGUGAGAUGCUCACCAGAAGGGGGCCAGAGUUGAAUAUAGGAAUUGAUAGGGUUAGGAGAUAAAAGCUUCAGCUUGCCCUCUUCGCCUAGAUCUCUCUAAAUGCCAUUGGAGUUAUAUCUAGUAAGGAGUUUCUUGGAGUUUGGUUGUACUCAUGUACUUCAAUGGUGAAAGCUUUGUGGAUCCUCUCUGGCUUGUGUAAUCAUAAAGUUUAAGGGCUCACAGGUAGUUUUGUCACUUUAUUCAGCAUGUACGCCAUCUUGGCUCACUUGUCUGGCAUCUUCUCCUCAUCUGAAUCUGCUUACUUGUGAACUGUCUACUCUGUUUUCAAGUAAUGCAUUAUGCCCCACCACACAAUUCAGAUGUAGCAUCAUCUUCCAUUAGACUUCAUCAGCUUGCACACUUGACAAAAACAGGUCUAGCUAAAAGAGAUACAAGAUUUGUGUCGAGGCUGUCGGCAACUGAAAUACUUGCAAAGAUUGAGCAAGCUAUUGCACCGUUGGGGUUCACUAUAGAAAAGAACAACUACAAGUUCUUCUUUGUUUAUUUUAUGCUCAAUUUUUUUCAAUGAAACAACAAAAUCCUAAUACCGCACUACAAUUUUGACCCUAAACCUUUUGCUAAGGAGCACUUGUUUUCUUUGUGCAGCACUUUGUUAGGAAAUAAUCCUUGCUUUCUUUCCUUCUUGUUCUCCCUUUUGCAAUGAGUGUAUUAGUAAUCUUAUGCUUUACAAAUUAUUACACUUUGUUACACUGUCGGAUUGUAUUACCAAACUAAAUUCUGAAUGA